rnacentral:rRNA from 1 species
UACUAACUCUGGCGGCGUGCUUAACACAUGCAAGUCGAACGGAAAGGCCCUGCUUUUGUGGGGCGCUCGAGUGGUGAACGGGUGAGUAACACGUGAGUAACCUGCCCUUGACUUUGGGAUAACUUCAGGAAACUGGGGCUAAUACCGGAUAGGAGCUCCUGCUGCAUGGUGGGGGUUGGAAAGUUUCGGCGGUUGGGGAUGGACUCGCGGCUUAUCAGCUUGUUGGUGGGGUAGUGGCUUACCAAGGCUUUGACGGGUAGCCGGCCUGAGAGGGUGACCGGCCACAUUGGGACUGAGAUACGGCCCAGACUCCUACGGGAGGCAGCAGUGGGGAAUAUUGCACAAUGGGCGGAAGCCUGAUGCAGCAACGCCGCGUGCGGGAUGACGGCCUUCGGGUUGUAAACCGCUUUCGCCUGUGACGAAGCGUGAGUGACGGUAAUGGGUAAAGAAGCACCGGCUAACUACGUG